rnacentral:rRNA from 1 species
UACGUAGGGUGCGAGCGUUGUCCGGAAUUAUUGGGCGUAAAGAGCUCGUAGGCGGCCUGUCGCGUCGACCGUGAAAACCCGCAGCUCAACUGCGGGCUUGCGGUCGAUACGGGCAGGCUGGAGUUCGGUAGGGGAGACUGGAAUUCCUGGUGUAGCGGUGAAAUGCGCAGAUAUCAGGAGGAACACCGGUGGCGAAGGCGGGUCUCUGGGCCGAUACUGACGCUGAGGAGCGAAAGCGUGGGGAGCGAACAGG